CACGGAGUUAGCCGGUGCUUAUUCAUUAGGUACCUUCAGCUCCUUACACGUAAAGAGGUUUAUUCCCUAAUAAAAGCAGUUUACAACCCAUAGGGCAUUCUUCCUGCACGCGGCAUGGCUGGUUCAGGCUUGCGCCCAUUGACCAAUAUUCCUCACUGCUGCCUCCCGUAGGAGUCUGGUCCGUGUCUCAGUACCAGUGUGGGGGACCAUCCUCUCAGACCCCCUACCCAUCGUUGCCAUGGUGAGCCGUUACCUCACCAUCUAGCUAAUGGGACGCAUGCCCAUCCUGUUCCGUAACCUUUAAAUAUCAAAUCAUGCGAUCCAAUAGUACCAUGGGGUCUUAAUCCGAAUUUCUUCGGGCUAUCCCCCAGAACAGGGUAGGUUGCAUACGCGUUACUCACCCGUGCGCCGGUCGCCACCAAAUAAGCAAGCUUAUUUUAUGCUGCCCUCGACUUGCAUGUGUUAGGCCUGCCGCCAGCGUUCAUCCUGAGCCAGGAUCUAAA
rnacentral:rRNA from 1 species